rnacentral:rRNA from 1 species
GACGAACGCUGACGGCGUGCUUAACACAUGCAAGUCGAAGGGAGUGGCGAACGGGUGAGUAACACGUGAGUAACCUGCCCUUUUCUUUGGGAUAAGCCUGGGAAACUGGGUCUAAUACUGGAUGGAUUGGGAUGGGCUCGCGGCUUAUCAGCUUGUUGGUGGGGUGAUGGCUUACCAAGGCUUUGACGGGUAGCAGGGCUGAGAGGGUGGACGGGAACACAGGGACGGGGAUGAGGCCCAGGGUACUACGGGGGGGAGCAGUGGGGGAUAUUGCCCAAUGGACGAAGGUCUGAUGCAGCGACGUCGUGUGGGGGAUGAAGGCCUUCGGGUUGUAAACUCCUUUCGCCCGCGGAAUGGUAGUGGGUAAAGAAGCGCCGGCUAACUACGUGCCAGCAGCCGCGGUAAUUC